rnacentral:rRNA from 1 species
UGCAGGGUGCUCGAGUGGCGAACGGGUGAGUAACACGUGGGUGAUCUGCCCCUGACUUUGGGAUAAGCCUGGGAAACUGGGUCUAAUACCGGAUAUGACCAAGGAUUGCAUGGUUCUUGGUGGAAAGCUUUUGCGGUUGGGGAUGGGCCCGCGGCCUAUCAGCUUGUUGGUGGGGUAAUGGCCUACCAAGGCGACGACGGGUAGCCGACCUGAGAGGGUGAUCGGCCACACUGGGACUGAGACACGGCCCAGACUCCUACGGGAGGCAGCAGUGGGGAAUAUUGCACAAUGGGCGCAAGCCUGAUGCAGCGACGCCGCGUGAGGGAUGACGGCCUUCGGGUUGUAAACCUCUUUCAGCAGGGACGAAGCGCGAGUGACGGUACCUGCAGAAGAAGCACCGGCCAACUACGUGCCAGCAGCCGCGGUAAUACGUAGGGUGCGAGCGUUGUCCGGAAUUACUGGGCGUAAAGAGCUCGUAGGCGGUUUGUCGCGUCGUCUGUGAAAUUCUGCAGCUUAACUGCAGGCGUGCAGGCGAUACGGGCAGACUUGAGUAC